rnacentral:rRNA from 1 species
GAUGAACGCUGGCGGCGUGCCUAAUACAUGCAAGUCGAGCGAACGGACGAGAAGCUUGCUUCUCUGAUGUUAUCGGCGGACGGGUGAGUAACACGUGGAUAACCUACCUAUAAGACUGGGAUAACUUCGGGAAACCGGAGCUAAUACCGGAUAAUAUUUUGAACCGCAUGGUUCAAAAGUGACAGACGGUCUUGCUGUCACUUAUAGAUGGAUCCGCGCUGCAUUAGCUAGUUGGAAGGUAACGGCUUACCAAGGCAACGAUGCAUAGCCGACCUGAGAGGGUGAUCGGCCACACUGGAACUGAGACACGGUCCAGACUCCUACGGGAGGCAGCAGUAGGGAAUCUUCCGCAAUGGGCGAAAGCCUGACGGAGCAACGCCGCGUGAGUGAUGAAGGUCUUCGGAUCGUAAAACUCUGUUAUUAGGGAAGAACAUAUGUGUAAGUAACUGUGCACAUCUUGACGGUACCUAAUCAGAAAGCCACGGCUAACUACGUG